AUGGUGAAUCCUGGAGUGCGGCCUGAUCGACAGAGGUGGAGUUGGCCUUGUAUGUCCCUCACAAUUUUUGCCAUCUAUCUGAACUUGUCGUGGGUCGAGGAUCUUGUUAAGCCACUGGGCCUUUUGGUCUUUUCCUUGAAAUUACACCAAACAUAUUGUUUUAUUUUCUCUUGGAGUCACCAUGCUUUCUCAAAUAUGCACAAUCCUCACUCUGAACCCACCUAUUCUAGGACAGGCUGUGCCAGAUCUUCUCAAUUCUGGGGAGCCUUGCAUGCCAUAAAAAGAUGGUUUAAGUCAGGGUUGGCUUAUAGGGUGGGAAUUUCUUUUGUCUGGCUGGUGGACACACAUUUAGGAAUUCAGUUCAGUACCCUGUUUUCUUAG
rnacentral:rRNA from 1 species